rnacentral:rRNA from 1 species
UACGGAGGGGGCUAGCGUUGUUCGGAAUUACUGGGCGUAAAGCGCACGUAGGCGGCUUUGUAAGUUAGAGGUGAAAGCCCGGGGCUCAACCCCGGAAUUGCCUUUAAGACUGCAUCGCUAGAAUUGUGGAGAGGUGAGUGGAAUUCCGAGUGUAGAGGUGAAAUUCGUAGAUAUUCGGAAGAACACCAGUGGCGAAGGCGACUCACUGGACACAUAUUAACGCUGAGGUGCGAAAGCGUGGGGAGCAAACAGG